AAGCAUAGCAUAUUGCUACAAGCUUAACUUAAUUUAUAGUAAUGGCUUUUUGCAUGAAAUCAACCUCUAUUCCUUCUCCCACUGUUUUCAAAUAUUCAACUAGACUGCUUGUCCCAAGAAGAGCAACCAGCAGAAUCAGUGUUCACAAGAAAUUCCAAUGCAUUGCUGGCUCGGAACUUAGUACUUCAACUGUUGUUAGGCGAUCAGGAAACUACCACCCUUCGAUUUGGGACGAAGGCUAUCUGCUCUCAUUAACUAGCGACUAUACGGGAGAUGCUUACAGAAAACAAGCAGAAAGGCUGAAGGAAGAAGUGAGGAUGAUAAUGAUGAUCAAUGAAGUGACGAAGCCAUUGGUUCAACUACAGCUGAUUGACACCGUACAAAGACUUGGACUGAGUUAUCAAUUUGACAAUGAGAUUACGAGCAUAUUGCAUAAUAUCCACAAUAACAGCGAUGAUAAAUUGAAGAAAGAAAAUCUACAUGCAGUUUCUCUAGAAUUUAGACUCCUCAGACAACAUGCUUAUUAUGUUUCUCAAGGUAGUGAAGCUGUUAAUUUCUUUUUAGUCUAUAUAAAUUGGAGAAAAACAAUGCUUUAUUGCGCUUUUCAACCAAAUGACAUGGUUUAUGACAUUCUCAGACAUAAGGAUUCAAAAGUGGUGCUGAAUCCUUAUCUCUGAGAAUGUCAUAAAUCAUUUCAUUAACAUGAUUGAAAAGCGCAAGAAAAGCAUAUUUUCAUGUAGUGCGGCAGCUGUUCAAUUAUAUUUAUAUAUAUAUACAUGUAUACACAUAUAUUUGUUCUUCUUAAAUUUUACCUUUGUAUUUGUUUAUAAGGUUUUAUGUUUCAUUCAUUUCUCACAAAUAUAAUGUUCUAAUUCUACUUCUUUUUGCCAUGUGCAUCAGUGGGCAAGUUUAUUGCAAGCCUUUUUUCAGGAGGCAAAAUGGUACCACGCUCAAUAUAAACCAACACUGGAAGAAUAUAUGAAAAAGGUACUUAUACCCAUCACGGGCCCUAUAAUAUCAAUUCUAUCAUACUUGUCUUCUACAGAUCCGAUUUUAAAGAAGGAAUUAUAAUAUAAAGAAAGCAAUUCUGCGGUAGUAUACUGGGCAUCUGUAGUUUUUCGGCUGCAAGAUGAUUUGGGAACUUCAACGAUAUUAAAAUUGUCAUUAUUAUCUACACUUGCGUUAAAAUGUUAUUGAAUUUGAUUGAUUAAUUAAUUGUGUUUCUUUCAAUUAUUCAGGACGAGAUAAAAAUAGGGGAUGUUCCUAAAGCUUUGCAGUGUCACAUCAAUGACACUGGUUGUUAUGAGGAAGCUGCUCGUGAACACAUCAAGGAACUAAUGAGAGAAGGUUGGAAGAAGUAUUAAAUAUCGUCGAGGUUUGCUGAAAACAAAUAAACCACCUUCGGUGUUGGUACCUCUUUGUUUUGUCUCUUUGUCGAUUGCCAACCUAUGAAUUUCCAAGAAGUAGUGCAAGUCAAGAAGUAGAGAGAUGCAAUGGACGAAGAAAUCAAAGCAAUUGUGAAUAAUGACAUGUGGGAACAUAUUCAUCUCCUAAAAGAUACAAGGCGAUAAGAGUUAAGUGGGUUUACAA